CCCUACAAGACCAGGAGCUACACCCCAGCUGAGGACCACCCUGUGCAGGAACAAGCAAAAAAACUAAACCGAAAUUUCAGCUUAACAGAGAGGGACUACUCAAGGUGUAGGAGAGACUCCAAGACAGGAGAGGCUGCUGCUGUUCCUAGCUUCAUGGGUCAAGGUGGCAACAGCAUGACAGGUGGCCGCACGGAAGAGCAUCUUUUUUCACCCCUUAGAAACCGUGCUAUGUCAGAAAAUGACAUUCGUGUGGACACACAGAAUUUUCAUAAUCACACCAACGUCACACCAAGCAGAAUGCGUGCGUCCACUCUUAGUGACCUGGAUGAGAAUGGAGUAUGUGUAGGUGAAGUAAAGAAAAAAAAGGGCCUCCGCGUCCACCGCCCCCAAAAUGGGAUCAAUUCCACAAGAGACGGGCAUCCCAUCAUAACCUCUUCUCCUCCCCGCCACUUCAUUCUUCUCCCUCUUCCUCUCCACCUCGACCACAGCCGUGCACAUCCC